UAUUGUACUUUAGUUAAGAUUAGUGUAGUUUACAAUUUAGUUAAUAGUUCAGUUAGUGCAAUUUACAAUUUAGUUAAUAGUUGAGUUCAGUUAGUGCAAUUUACAAUUCAGUUAAUAGUUCAGUUCAGUCAGUGCAGUUUACAGUUCAGUUAAUAGUUCAGUUAGUGUAGUUUACAAUUCAGUUAAUAGUUCAGUUUAGUUCAUACUGUAAUUUAGUUCAGUUCAGUUCAGUUUGAUAAAAAAAAGACACUUCAGUUCAGUUUUU
rnacentral:lncRNA from 1 species